rnacentral:rRNA from 1 species
AAUCAACGCUGGCGGCGUGCCUAACACAUGCAAGUCGAACGCGAAAGUCCCGCAAGGGAUUAGUAGAGUGGCAAACGGGUGAGUAACACGUGGGUGACCUGCCUUCGAGUGGGGGAUAACGUCCCGAAAGGGACGCUAAUACCGCAUAACAUCCUGCCUUUUAAGAGGUGGAGACCAAAGCUGGGGACCGUAAGGCCUGGCGCUGGAAGAGGGGCCCGCGUCUGAUUAGCUAGUUGGUGAGGUAACGGCUCACCAAGGCAACGAUCAGUAUCCGGCCUGAGAGGGCGGACGGACACACUGGGACUGAGACACGGCCCAGACUCCUACGGGAGGCAGCAGUGGGGAAUUGUUCGCAAUGGGCGCAAGCCUGACGACGCAACGCCGCGUGGAGGAUGAAGA